GCCCUGGUGGUGCAAUGGUUAAGCACUUGGUUGCUAACCGAAAGGUUGGCAGUUCCAACCUACCCAGGGGCU
rnacentral:tRNA from 1 species